CCAUGAUGGCGAACGUGACAAUAAACAGUACUACGUUCCCAGCACACACGGAACAACGUUAACAUGCCUUUGGAGUCGUGUGUUAAGCCACCUGAUGAAUGAGCACCCAGGAGAGUUGGUGGACAUGCCAGCUAAGCACAGUCCUGAGAAACACCCGGCACGGCCAAACAUCAAUGUUUUGGGCUUUUAAAAGUCAACAAAGUCACAGGGUCAGAGUCAGUGUGUGGUCCCUGAGGUGGAUUCAAGCUACAGGCAGGGCUGAAACUUCCUUCCUUACCUGCAGAUGGCGCCACAGGAACACAGCUACAGCAAAUGAGGUAAGAUAAAACAAGGGCAUCACUGUUUGCAGACUUACUAAAACUUAU